UCUAAUAUGGCAGAAUAGUGCGUUGGAUUUAAGCCCCGAAUAUAAAGGUAAUUUUAUUAGAA
rnacentral:tRNA from 1 species